rnacentral:rRNA from 1 species
GAAAGUAAUUAAGGGCAAACGGUGGAUGCCUUGGCUCUCAGAGGCGAUGAAGGACGUGACAAGCUGCGAAAAGCUGCGGUGAGGAGCAAAUAUCCGUUAUAUCCGCAGGUAUCCGAAUGGGGCAACCCUCCAAGUUGAAGACUUGGAAUCCCGGCGCAAGUCGGGAAGCGAACCUGGAGAACUGAAACAUCUAAGUACCCGGAGGAAAAGAAAACAAAAGUGAUUCCCAGAGUAGUGGCGAUCGAAAUGGGAAUAGCCCAAACCGACGAUGUUUAGGCAUUGUCGGGGUUGUAGGACCGGCACCAUUAUUAUUAAUAUCAACGGAAACUACCUGGAAAGGUAGGGCAUAGAAGGUGAAACCCCUGUACCGGUAAGUAUUGAUAAUAUAGCUGGCAUCCUGAGUAGGGCGGGACACGUGAAAUCCUGUCUGAACCCGCGGGGACCAUCCCGCAAGGCUAAAUACUCCUGAGAGACCGAUAGUGGACUAGUACCGUGAGGGAAAGGUGAAAAGCACCCCGAACAGGGGAGUGAAAUAGUACCUGAAACCGUUUGCUUACAAAUCGGUCGGAGCUCUGUCGCAAGACGGGGUGACGGCGUGCCUUUUGCAUAAUGAGCCUACGAGUUAUCCUUACUAGCAAGGUUAAGACUUUAAGGGUCGGAGCCGAAGCGAAAGCGAGUCUGAACAGGGCGUAUAGUUAGUAGGGGUAGACGCGAAACUUUGUGAUCUAUCCUUGGUCAGGCUGAAGUUCCGGUAACACGGGAUGGAGGGCCGAACCAGUAAACGUUGAAAAGUUUUUGGAUGAACUGAGGAUAGGGGUGAAAGGCCAAUCAAACUGAGAAAUAGCUCGUACUCCCCGAAAUGCAUUUAGGUGCAGCCUUGAGUCGAGUUUUGCAGAGGUAGAGCUACUGAUAAGGCUAGAGGGCUUCAUCGCCUAUCAAACCUUGACAAACUCCGAAUGCUGCAAAAUGGUGCUCAGGAGUGAGGCUAUGGGUGCUAAGAUCCGUGGCCAAAAGGGAAAUAACCCAGACCAUCAGCUAAGGUCCCCAAGUAUAUGUUAAGUUGGAAAAACGAAGUGCGACUGCCCAGACAGCUAGGAUGUUGGCUUGGAAGCAGCCAUUCAUUUAAAGAGUGCGUAACAGCUCACUAGUCGAGCGGUUGUGCGUGGAUAAUAAUCGGGCAUAAACAUAUCACCGAAGCUGUGGUCCCGACGCGUAAGUGUCGGGAGGUAGGGGAGCAUUCCAGUCCUGCGUUGAAGGUGUACCGUAAGGUAUGCUGGAGCGUCUGGAAAAGAAAAUGUAGGCAUAAGUAACGAUAAGGCAGGUGAGAAACCUGCCCACCGAAAGACUAAGGUUUCCUGAUCAACGUUAAUCGGAUCAGGGUUAGUCGGGACCUAAGGGUAAGCCGAAAGGCGAUCUCGAUGGACAAUCGGUUAAUAUUCCGAUACCACCGCAUGUUGCGAUGGGGAGACGGAGGAGUGAAAGAACCGCCCGGUGACGGACAUCCGGGUUAAAGGGUGUAGUUAUACACAUGGGUUAAUAGCUUGUGUGUGAUGAACCUGAUAGUACCGCGAGGCUUCGGCUGAACGGAUAGUGUUCCUAAUCAGACUUCCAAGAAAAUCCUCUAAGCUUCAGACAUGUGGUGCCCGUACCACAAACCGACACAGGUAGUCGAGGAGAGAAUCCUAAGGUGCUCGAGUGAUCCGUGGCUAAGGAACUAGGCAAAUUGAACCUGUAACUUAGGGAUAAAGGUUCCCCUGUUAUUAUGGGGGCGCAGAUAAAUGGCCCAGGCGACUGUUUAACAAAAACACAAGGCUUUGCGAAAUUGAAAGAUGAAGUAUAAGGCCUGACACCUGCCCGGUGCCGGAAGGUUAAGAGGGGGGGUUAUCCCGACACUUGUGUCGGGAGAAGCUCUGAAUCGAAGCCCCGGUAAACGGCGGCCGUAACUAUAACGGUCCUAAGGUAGCGAAAUUCCUUGUCGGGUAAGUUCCGACCUGCACGAAUGGUGUAACGAUCUGGGCACUGUCUCAGCCACGAGCUCGGUGAAAUUGUAGUUCCGGUGAAGAUGCCGGAUACCCGCAACGGGACGGAAAGACCCCGUGAACCUUUACUAUAGCUUAACAUUGAUUUUGGGUAAGUGAUGUGUAGGAUAGGUCGGAGACUAUGAACCGGUUUCGCCAGGAAUCGGGGAGUCAACGUUGAAAUACGACCCUUCAUUUACCUGGAAUCUAAUCCCGACUACAGUCGGGAGACAUUGUUUGGUGGGUAGUUUGACUGGGGUGGUCGCCUCCAAAAGAGUAACGGAGGCUCCUCAAGGUGCCCUCAGCACGAUUGGUAACCGUGCGGAGAGUGUAAUGGCACAAGGGCGCUUGACUGUGAGACUGACAAGUCGAUCAGGUACGAAAGUAGAGCAUAGUGAUCCGGUGGUUCCGUAUGGAAGGGCCAUCGCUCAAAGGAUAAAAGGUACUCCGGGGAUAACAGGCUGAUCGCCGCCAAGAGCUCAUAUCGACGCGGCGGUUUGGCACCUCGAUGUCGGCUCGUCACAUCCUGGGGCUGGAGAAGGUCCCAAGGGUUCGGCUGUUCGCCGAUUAAAGUGGCACGCGAGCUGGGUUCAGAACGUCGUGAGACAGUUCGGUCCCUAUCUGUUGUGGGCGCAGGAAAUUUGAGAGAACCUGACACUAGUACGAGAGGACCGUGUUGGACAGACCGCUAGUGUACCUGUUGUGGCGCCAGCUGCAUCGCAGGGUAGCUAUGUUUGGAAGAGAUAAGCACUGAAAGCAUCUAAGUGCGAAGCUCGUCUCAAGAUGAGAUUUCCCUUAAGGGUCGUUGUAGACUACGACGUUGAUAGGCUGCAGGUGUAAAGGUGGCAACAUCAAAGCCGAGCAGUACUAAUUACCCGUGAGCUUUCUGAG